GUGCUCAUCUCCUUUUUGGCCACUUGGGGGCAGUACAAGCUGCAAACAGAAAAGCGAUUGUUUUGAUUUUAUGACCUUCCAAAGUCAGUCAACAUGGCGGCUGUGGUGACGCUUAUGAGGCGGAUUGUGUACGUUUGAACUGUGCUUUAAGGCCUCAUCGUGUCUGCACAUCUGGAUGCUGGACUGAUCCAAGGUUUUGUCGUUCUCGUGUGCGACCAACAACCUCCUUACAGAAGCUGAUGAGUGUAAUGAAUCUGUGAGCAAACUGAAGUGUAAACUGUUGUUGGAGAACAUCAGACAUUAAUCAGCAGGACGGAUUCACCUUGAGUGACAUCUUACGAAAGUAAGAAUUCCCAAAGACCAUCUUCAGAUCGUGGUUUUGCUUUGCCACCCUAAGAUCUGGUCUUCCUGACAAAAAACAUGUGGCUGAUAUCUCUUACUGUAACUGUUAGUGAUGCAAAACUCUCAAAACUCUUUUCUGAUGUGUCAGCACUAGUUGGGUUUGUGUUGCUUAUGCGCAGGCUCCAACGAGCAGCUUGGUGGCAUUCAGGGAAUUCAGGCAUUGGGGCUAAACUAACUGCUUAGUUAACGUCUGAGAACAAUCGAGUCAUCUCAGCCGUGAUCGAUUAAAACCCAAAGACCGAUGUCGACCACGUGGUGGCGCUAGAGGAUC